AUACAGAGGGUGCGAGCGUUAUCCGGAAUCACUGGGUUUAAAGGGUGCGUAGGCGGCUAAAUAAGUCAGAGGUGAAAUCUUCCUGCUUAACGGUAAAAUUGCCUUUGAAACUGUAUAGCUUGAAUUAAGUUGAGGUUAGCGGAAUGUGACAUGUAGCGGUGAAAUGCAUAGAUAUGUCAUAGAACAACAAAUGCGAAGGCAGCUGGCUAGGCUUAUAUUGACGCUGAGGCACGAAAGCGUGGGGAGCGAACAGGAUUAGAAACCCCAGUAGUCC
rnacentral:rRNA from 1 species